rnacentral:rRNA from 1 species
UCAUUUAGAGGAAGGAGAAGUCGUAACAAAGUUUUCAUAGGUGAACCUGCGGAAGGAUCAUUGCCGAGACUCGGAUGAGGAAGACCUGCAAACUUGUGAACGUGCUGCGCCAUAGCGGGAAGGCUCGCUCAACCCACUGCGUCACCCUCACCCAACUCCACCCACUGCAUUCGCCUCGAGGCUCGAACACCCGCCCGAUCGGGCGCAGCGGGGACGUGCGGUGCGGGGGGUGGCGGGCGGACCAAACCUGACGCAAAGGGCGCCAAGGAUCUGUGGAGCACUGAAGCGGGGGUGCCUCGACGCUCACCCAUCCCCAAUCGGGUGCUAGGAGGGUGGGGGGCACCCCCACGGAUGGCAGCCUUACACCGCACGACUCUCGGCAACGAAUAUCUCGGCUCUCGCAUCGAUGAAGAACGUAGCGAAAUAUGAUACCUGGUGUGAAUUGCAGAAUCCCGUGAACCACUGAGUCUUUGAACGCAAGUUGCGCCCAAGGCCACCCGAUCGAGGGCACGCCUACCUGGGCAUCACGCCAAGCGAUGCUCUGAUGCCCUGGGGACCGCAAUAGGCUUCCCAGGGAAGCCGGAUGCGCUCAAUGGCUCCUCGUGCCCCUCCCGGUGUGGUGGGCCGAAGAGCGGGCCACUGGCAGGGCCGGACAUGGCGGAUGGUGGACGCUCAUGCGAUCCUGUCGCUGUGCCGUCGGACCCCAAAGAUGGAGGCGGGCCCUCCUAUCCCUGCACCCCCCACCAAAGCUCAUGCCACUCCCAGGCCCCAGGCCGGGGGUGGCACGCCUCGGAUCGUGACCCUAGGUUAGGCGGGAACACCCGUCGAGCUUAAGCAUAUCAAUAAGCGGAGGA